rnacentral:rRNA from 1 species
AGAGUUUGAUCCUGGCUCAGGACGAACGCUGGCGGCGUGCCUAAUACAUGCAAGUCGAGCGGGACUCUUCGGAGUCUAGCGGCGGACGGGUGAGUAACACGUGGGCAACCUGCCUGUAAGACUGGGAUAACACCGGGAAACCGGAGCUAAUACCGGAUGACAUUAAGGAACUCCUGUUCCUUAAUUGAAAGAUGGCUUCG